GCUUCCGUAGAUCAUGGGAUUAGAGCGUCACGCUACGAACGUGAGGGUCGCAAGUUGGCUUCGCCCAUCUCCUUGUGCCUCGGCAUAGCUCAAGCAAGCCUGGCUCUGCGCUCGGCACUGCAUCGAGUCGAGUCCUGCNGGAAGUA
rnacentral:tRNA from 1 species